GAUAACAGGCUGAUCUUACCCAAAGUUCACAUCGACAAUAAGGUUUGGCAUCUCAAUGUCGGCUCUUCGCCACCUAGGAUGGUAGUACAUUCCAAGGGUUGGGUUGUUCGCCCAUUAAAGCGAUACAUGAGCUGGGUUUAGAACGUCGUGAGAUAGUUC
rnacentral:ncRNA from 1 species